rnacentral:misc_RNA from 3 species
AACGCACAUUGCGCCCGCCAGUAUUCUGGCGGGCAUGCCUGUCUGAGCGUCGUUUCGACCCUCGCGCCCGGCUUCUGUCGGGGGCGGUGUUGGGGAUCGGCCACACCCUUCAGUGGGAGGCCGGCCCCUAAAUUCAGUGGCGACCACGCUGUAGCCUCCCCUGCGUAGUACUAAAACCACCUCGCAGGCGGAGAGCGGUGCGGCCCGCCGUAAAACCCCCCAACUUUUACAAGGUCGACCUCAGAUCAGGUAGGAAUACCCGCUGAACUUAA